GGUGCGGUACCCAAGUGGUUAAGGGGGCGGUCUGCAAAACCGUCAUUCGUCGGUUCAACUCCGACCCGCACCU
rnacentral:tRNA from 6 species